AUGAACGCUGGCGGCGUGCCUCAUACAUGCAAGUCGAGCGAACGGACGAGAAGCUUGCUUCUCUGAUGUUAGCGGCGGACGGGUGAGUAACACGUGGAUAACCUACCUAUAAGACUGGGAUAACUUCGGGAAACCGGAGCUAAUACCGGAUAAUAUUUUGAACCGCAUGGUUCAAAAGUGAAAGACGGUCUUGCUGUCACUUAUAGAUGGAUCCGCGCUGCAUUAGCUAGUUGGUAAGGUAACGGCUUACCAAGGCAACGAUGCAUAGCCGACCUGAGAGGGUGAUCGGCCACACUGGAACUGAGACACGGUCCAGACUCCGACGGGAGGCAGCAGUAGGGAAUCUUCCGCAAUGGGCGAAAGCCUGACGGAGCAACGCCGCGUGAGUGAUGAAGGUCUUCGGAUCGUAAAACGCUGUUAUUAGGGAAGAACAUAUGUGUAAGUAACUGUGCACAUCUUGACGGUACCUAAGCAGAAAGCCACGGCUAACUACGU
rnacentral:rRNA from 1 species